GGACGAACGCUGGCGGCGUGCCUAACACAUGCAAGUCGAACGGAGCGAAAGCAGCUUGCUGCUGGAGCUUAGUGGCGACGGGUGAGUAACACGUGAGUAACCUGCCUUUCAGAGGGGAAUAAUGUCUGGAAACGGACACUAAUACCGCAUAACAUAUUGAGAUCGCAUGAUUUUGAUAUCAAAGGAGCAAUCCGCUGAAAGAUGGACUCGCGUCUGAUUAGCCAGUUGGCGGGGUAACGGCCCACCAAAGCGACGAUCAGUAGCCGGACUGAGAGGUUGAACGGCCACAUUGGGACUGAGACACGGCCCAGACUCCUACGGGAGGCAGCAGUGGGGGAUAUUGCACAAUGGGGGAAACCCUGAUGCAGCCAACGCCGCGUGCAGGAAGACGGUCUUCGGAUUGUAAACUGUUGUCCUCUGUGACGAUAAUGACGGUAGCAGAGGAGGAAGCCACGGCUAACUACGUGCCAGCAGCCGC
rnacentral:rRNA from 1 species